GAUUAAGUUUCUGGGUUUUGGUUUAUUUGAUCCUAACCUCUCUUGUAGGGAUGAUCUGAUUGUACGACUACUUCACGCCAGCUUUCCUGUUUCAUUGGGACAUCAUCUCUUAGGAGGGGAUUUACUUCAAGGAUGGUGCAUUGUCAUGCCUCAACCCGAUAAAUAUUGAGUUUACAGUUUGGUUUCUGCUCUCAAUUCUCUCUUGGUUUCUUCUUGAUCGUUCUAGACUUGAUGCCUGCUCUGAUUUUCCAACCACAUGUACUCCAAGUAACACCUCUCCCUCUCAGGCUAAAUGUUUUGCUCUGCAAACAAAGCAAAACUCCGAAGGAGAUGAUCACUUGCUUACACCAAUAAUUAGGCUAUUAAUGUCAACUUUGUUCGACCUAACUGGUGGUUCUAACUGGUUUUGUUGGUAUAAGAUUAAAUACUUAUACAAAAAAUAUAUUUUUGGGCUGCUGGAACUUAUUUUAUUGAUUGAAGAAUGCUGAAUUUAUACAUGAACUUGUAACUUAAAUGACAUUAGAAUAGCAGAAAAUCAAGCUACUAGAUGAUGAACAACUACUUCCUAUAAAAUAGAAAUCAAAUCUUGACCAAAUAAAAAUAAGAAAAUAUCUAGAUGUUGCAGAUUUUGUGCAAGACUCCAGCUGCAAUAUUCAAAAUUCAAAUUCCAGCAAAUACUAAGUCAAAAUUCAACACUCCUCCUUGACUUCGUAGAUGCAAACUCCAAGUCUUGCACGUAGACACUCAAACCAAACUUCGAAAGGGGUCUGCUUCUUUAACACUUUUGUUGGCAAUAUGUUCAGAAAAUAUACUGCUCUACUUGCAGUUUUAGCCCAAAAUUGUUUGCAUUCCAUUUCAAGGAUGGCAUUUUUUGAGAUCCACCAAACAUUGUUUGCAUUCCAUUUCAAGGAUGGCAUUUUUUGAGAUCCACCAACAUCAGUAUGCACCAGUUGCAGUUUUUGGGUUGCUCUCCAGGAUAUUUUCUUUGGAAAGGGAAGUUUAGUUUGCUUCCCAUAUUGACAAGUAGCACAUAUAGGAAGAUCUUUUUCUAAGUCAGGAAGUCCUUCAACUAUUUGAUUUUUCUUCAUGUAGAGCACAUCAUCAUGAUGAAAGUGCUCGACCCUUCUGUCCCAAAACAUUGUUGUGCUAUCUUGUUGUAAAAUAGCAGUAUGCUCAUCUUCCAGUAAAUUCAAGGCAAAACUUUUGCCCUUCAUUUUUAUGUUGAACACCUCUUUGCCUUCAGCAUCCUUGAUAAUGCAAUUCCUAUCUUCAAAAUAAACUUUAAAUUCUUCCUCAACGAGCUGUCCAACACUGAGUAAGUUUUGGUCAAUGUCAGGCACAAACAAAACAUCAUAAAUGAGUUUCAAACCUGUUUGGCUUUCGAUAGCAACCGUUCCUUUGCCCUUCACUGGAAUAUACUCACCAUUUCCAAUUCUGACUUUGGAAAUAGUUGUUCUAUCAAGUUCUCUAAAGAGAUCUUGAUUAUUUGUCAUGUGAUUUGUACAACCACUAUCCACAAGCCAGCUUUCAGAGGUGCUUUUAUUAGCAAAACACGUUGCUGCAAACAAUUGCUCCUCCUGGCAAUAGUCAACUGCUGCACUAGUUUCUUCCUGUUGUUGAUUUUUGCAAAUCCUCUCCACAUGUCCUUGUUUACCACACUUGUUGCAUUUCACAUCUGGUCUCCACCAACAUUUUUGUGGAGAAUGAUUUGUCUUCUUGCAAUGAGGACAAGGUGGAAAAACUCCAUUUUUCUGGUUGUUGCUGCAUGGCUUGUUGUUGUUCAUCUUUCCAUUUUUAUGGCCUGCAUUUUUCUGCAUUCUUGCUUGAAAUGCUCCUUCUGUAGUAUCUCCUUGUCUCAUGAGUCUUCUUUGUUCCACAGCCUCCAAGGAAUGUAAUAAUUCUGUCAAGCUAAUAGUUGACAGAUCUUUUGAAUUCUCCAAAGAGGAAAUUGUAGCUUCAUAUUUCUCAGGAAGUGUAACCAAUAUCUUUUGAACAAUCUUCUCAUUGGAAAAUUCUUUUCCAAGCAGCCUAACUUUGUCUGCUAUUGAAAGAAGUUGUGCAGCAUAGUCUUUAACAGCAUCAGACUCCCUCAUUUUCUUCAUUUCAAAUUCUCGAAUCAAGUUCAUCACCUGCAUGUUCUUGAUUCUUUCAUCUCCUUUGUAUUCCUCCUUGAGAUACUCCCAAAUUUCUGCAGCUGAAUCAAUUUUCAUGAUUUUGAUGAAAAUUGAUGGUGAAACUGCAGCAAACAAGCAAGCUUUCGCUUUAGCCUUUCUUGUCCUUCUUUCUUUAUGCAACUUCAUUUGAGCCACAGUUGGAUUGGCUCCCAGGGGAGGAACUUCAUAAUUUUCUUCAACUGCUUCCCAAACAUCAAGUGCUUGUAGAUGAACUGUCAUUCUAACAGCCCAAGUUUCAUAAUUGUCUCCAUCAAGAAUUGAUGGUGCAACUGUGAGACUUGACUCUUCCAUUGCUAUAUGAUUUUAGAAGGUGUUUGGGUUCUCACCUCACUGGCCCCUCAAGAUAACUAUGGCUCUGAUACCACUUUGUUGGUAUAAGAUUAAAUACUUAUACAAAAAAUAUAUUUUUGGGCUGCUGGAACUUAUUUUAUUGAUUGAAGAAUGCUGAAUUUAUACAUGAACUUGUAACUUAAAUGACAUUAGAAUAGCAGAAAAUCAAGCUACUAGAUGAUGAACAACUACUUCCUAUAAAAUAGAAAUCAAAUCUUGACCAAAUAAAAAUAAGAAAAUAUCUAGAUGUUGCAGAUUUUGUGCAAGACUCCAGCUGCAAUAUUCAAAAUUCAAAUUCCAGCAAAUACUAAGUCAAAAUUCAACAGGUUUGAAUGCCAAUUCCUUUCAGGCUUUCAGAACUUAUAUAAGCAAGAGCUCUAGGUUCCUUUCGCCUUCAAGAUGGCUCUGCACUUUCUAGGCCUUAACCAUCCAACCCUCCUUUCCAUGCCUCUUUUGAUUCAUCUGGGUUGGUUUCAAUUCUCUUGACUAACCCUGCAGUCAGUUGAACGGAGUUCCAUAUUAAUUGUUAUGUUAGUAGCUUUGAUUCUUUAUGAAUUCCAGAUACAUACAGCGUCUUGAGAUGAUAGCUAAUGGCCCUGAUGGUUUGUUUGUACAAAAUAAUAAUAUUCUUUUUGGUUGAGUGCAGUUUAGA
rnacentral:lncRNA from 1 species